rnacentral:rRNA from 1 species
GACGAACGCUGGCGGCGUGCCUAAUACAUGCAAGUCGAGCGGACGGAUGGGAGCUUGCUCCCAGACCGUCAGCGGCGGACGGGUGAGUAACACGUGGGCAACCUGCCUGUAAGACUGGGAUAACUCCGGGAAACCGGGGCUAAUACCGGAUAACUCUUUCCCUCACAUGAGGGAAAGCUGAAAGAUGGCAUCUCGCUAUCACUUACAGAUGGGCCCGCGGCGCAUUAGCUAGUUGGUUAGGUAACGGCUCACCAAGGCGACGAUGCGUAGCCGACCUGAGAGGGUGAUCGGCCACACUGGGACUGAGACACGGCCCAGACUCCUACGGGAGGCAGCAGUAGGGAAUCUUCCGCAAUGGACGAAAGUCUGACGGAGCAACGCCGCGUGAGUGAUGAAGGCUUUCGGAUCGUAAAACUCUGUUGUCAGGGAAGAACAAGUACCGGAGUAACUGCCGGUACCUUGACGGUACCUGACCAGAAAGCCACGGCUAACUACGUG